rnacentral:rRNA from 1 species
AGAGUUUGAUCCUGGCUCAGAUUGAACGCUGGCGGCAGGCUUAACACAUGCAAGUCGAGCGGAAACGAUCCUAGCUUGCUAGGAGGCGUCGAGCGGCGGACGGGUGAGUAAUGCAUGGGAAUCUGCCCGAUAGUGGGGGACAACCUGGGGAAACUCAGGCUAAUACCGCAUACGUCCUACGGGAGAAAGCAGGGGAUCUUCGGACCUUGCGCUAUCGGAUGAGCCCAUGUCGGAUUAGCUUGUUGGUGAGGUAAUGGCUCACCAAGGCGACGAUCCGUAGCUGGUCUGAGAGGAUGAUCAGCCACACUGGGACUGAGACACGGCCCAGACUCCUACGGGAGGCAGCAGUGGGGAAUAUUGGACAAUGGGCGAAAGCCUGAUCCAGCCAUGCCGCGUGUGUGAAGAAGGCCUUCGGGUUGUAAAGCACUUUCAGCGAGGAAGAACGCCUUGGGAUUAAUACUCCCGAGGAAAGACAUCACUCGCAGAAGAAGCACCGGCUAACUCCGUGCCAGCAGCCGCGGUAAUAC